rnacentral:lncRNA from 1 species
UGAGACUCGCUGGCGGGAUGCUAAAGUUUCCGGCGAUCCUUGCGUUAAGAGUGGUUCCUUGUUUGACAAACAAAGUGCUGACUUGAGCGACCGUUGCGCUUGGGACAAAAGUUGCAAACAUGGCAGGUAACAUAUUUAGCAUUUGUUUUGUUUCUUCGACUUCUGUGAUUGUACAAAGAUUCCACUGAUCUGUUAUUCCUGUUUUCAGUGAAGCUCUGUCUAAGAAUCUGCAACACAGUUGACUGAUGAAUCUCAAAAUGCGUAUCUAAUGAAUAUAUAAUACUCCCUCCGUUUUUUAAUAUAAGUCGUUGUAGAGAAAUUUUU